rnacentral:rRNA from 1 species
GACGAACGCUGGCGGCGUGCCUAACACAUGCAAGUCGAACGGAGUUGUUCCUUCGGGGACAACUUAGUGGCGAACGGGUGAGUAACGCGUGAGAAACCUGCCUUUCAGUGGGGGACAACAGUUGGAAACGACUGCUAAUACCGCAUGAUGUGCGACCGGGGCAUCCCGGAUGUACCAAAGGAGCAAUCCGCUGUAAGAUGGACUCGCGUCCAAUUAGAUAGUUGGUGGGGUAACGGCCCACCAAGUCGACGAUUGGUAGCCGGACUGAGAGGUUGAACGGCCACAUUGGGACUGAGACACGGCCCAGACUCCUACGGGAGGCAGCAGUGGGGAAUAUUGCACAAUGGGCGCAAGCCUGAUGCAGCAACGCCGCGUGAGGGAAGACGGUCUUCGGAUUGUAAACCUCUGUCCUUGGUGAAGAAACAUNACGGUAGCCAUGAGGAAGCCACGGCUAACUACGUG